rnacentral:rRNA from 1 species
UACGUAGGGACCGAGCGUUGUCCGGAAUCAUUGGGCGUAAAGAGCGUGUAGGCGGCCACUUAAGUCCUGCGUGAAAUCUUGCGGCUCAACCGCAAGCGGUCGUGGGAAACUGGGUGGCUAGAGUGCAAAAAAGAAAAGUAGAAUUCCUAAUAUAACGGUGGAAUGCGCAGAUAUCAGGAAAAACACCCAUAACAAAAACAACUCUCUAAAACACAACUAACACUGAGACACGAAAACAUAAAAAGCAAACAGG